AAGUAUCCGUCAAGUUUGAUGUAUAUAAGAAGUGAUUGGAGUUCCGGUUAAAGAAGAAAAAGUUCAUUCUUGAAGAUUUACAAGGAAAAAGAAGUCCAAAGGUUCUAAAGCAAGUGUUGGUGCAUAGAACCUUGGAGUUAAUUCAGGUAAUUAUAGAUUGAGAUUAAGAGUUUUCUAAGGUUUAGUUGUGUCUAGAGUAGAAUUGUAAGUUCAAUUUUUUUUUAGUGGAUCAUUUGGUGGCACUGGGUACUCCGAGGUUUUUUCUCUUGAAGAGUUCUUCAGGGAUUUUUCUAUCUUAAACUAUUCUAGGAGUUAUUUACUUUUUACAUGCUUACUUGCUUAGAUGAUCACUCCGUUGCAAAAUUGAUUUUCUAUACAUCCAGGGGCGGACCCAGACCCUUUCGGUUAGAGGGGUCACAAUUAAACUUUCAAACGAUGAAGAAAUUGUAAAUGGUAAUGACAAUUCGUAGUCGACAGACUGAGAGAGAGAGAGACAAAGGCACAAAGUUGAGUUUGU
rnacentral:lncRNA from 1 species